AAAGGUUGGACAUGAUGCUUAGGGACAUGGUUUAGUGGGUGACAUUGGUGGUAGGGGGAUGGUUGGACCAGAUGGUCCUGGAUGUCUUUUCCAACCUUAAUGAUUCUAUGAUUCACGAUUGCCACAGAUGUUCCCCAGCACUCCCAGUGAGCAGGGGUCAAAUGCAGGCUUCUCCCGGAGCCCCCAGCAUCAUCUGGAACCAUCGUGUGUGUGGGGAUGUAGCCUCACAUCGUGGGCCAUACCGCCAUCCAUGGGUUGGAGCUCCCCGUAACCACCAGGGAGCUGAAAGCAGCAAUGCGGCUGCAAGGAUUGGCAGAAGGGAGCUGCUUCAAGGCUUUAUGAUUAAAUGGAGCUGCUGUAACACACUGCAGUUGGAAAAGGAUCCCCAGAGAUCCCACAUCUCUGUUUACCACCUCAUUUCUGGAGUCUGCCAUGUCCUCUGCUCCGUUGAGUAA
rnacentral:lncRNA from 1 species